rnacentral:rRNA from 1 species
UACAGAGGUCUCAAGCGUUGUUCGGAUUCAUUGGGCGUAAAGGGUGCGUAGGCGGCGCGGUAAGUCGGGUGUGAAAUCUCGGGGCUUAACUCCGAAACUGCAUUCGAUACUGCCGUGCUUGAGGACUGGAGAGGAGACUGGAAUUUACGGUGUAGCGGUGAAAUGCGUAGAUAUCGUAAGGAAGACCAGUGGCGAAGGCGGGUCGUCCUGGACAGUUCCUGACGCUGAGGCACGAAGGCCAGGGGAGCAAACGGG